rnacentral:tRNA from 1 species
GCCUCGGUAGCUCAGUUGGUAGAGCAGCAGACUGAAAAUCUGCGUGUCGGUGGUUCGAUUCCGCCCCGGGGCA